rnacentral:rRNA from 1 species
GACGAACGCUGGCGGCGUGCCUAAUACAUGCAGGUUGAGCGCUGAAGGUUGGUACUUGUACCGACUGGAUGAGCAGCGAACGGGUGAGUAACGCGUGGGGAAUCUGCCUUUGAGCGGGGGACAACAUUUGGAAACGAAUGCUAAUACCGCAUAAAAACUUUAAACACAAGUUUUAAGUUUGAAAGAUGCAAUUGCAUCACUCAAAGAUGAUCCCGCGUUGUAUUAGCUAGUUGGUGAGGUAAAGGCUCACCAAGGCGAUGAUACAUAGCCGACCUGAGAGGGUGAUCGGCCACAUUGGGACUGAGACACGGCCCAAACUCCUACGGGAGGCAGCAGUAGGGAAUCUUCGGCAAUGGACGAAAGUCUGACCGAGCAACGCCGCGUGAGUGAAGAAGGUUUUCGGAUCGUAAAACUCUGUUGGUAGAGAAGAACGUUGGUGAGAGUGGAAAGCUCAUCAAGUGACGGUAACUACCCAGAAAGGGACGGCUAACUACGU